AAAUUAUGGGAACUCUGUAUUGUAUUCAUCAUCGUACGAUUACAAGUACAUGAAUGUUACAUGCUCCCAUUGGAGUUUGCCUAUUUUGCCUUCUGCGACUAUGCUUAAGGAGUAUCUGACUUGGAAGAUUGCGUGUAGUCCGCUGAUUCCCGGUGCUUUUGCAAAGCGUCCGGUUAAUUACAUCUAUAGGUCAAGCUUACAGAAAACCUCCGAUUAAGCUGCGCGCGGUCGUCGUCGUGAAAUUCGCUCAUCCAUGAAGCAUGUGUGAUGUUUGGAGAAAAGAUGUAGAUGGUGGUGAUACGUAGGUGUGGGUGGCUUUGUUUUGCCUGAACCCAGUCACGAUACGCCAUCGCCAUGUCGGUAUUUAGAACGGAAUUUGUUGAUGAAGAUGGUGACCUUUGCUUGUCGGUGCCCAGUCAUGUACCCAAGAAUUCAUCGAACAUGGACAUGUGUAUGUUGCUUUUGCCUCGUCGGUGCCCAGCAACGAAGUGUCCGAUCCCAUUUGGGAUUGUGACAUGUUAAUGAAAUAUAGUGAUCUGGCCGUGUUGGCACUUGGACAUGAUUUCGUCUAGCCUUGUUGGCACUAGACAUGAGAUGGGUAUGAUGGAUUUGACCAUAACCUCAUGGAGAUUAGGCCAUAGAUUUGAGAUAGAUCAUUGAUAGAGCAUGCCUUUUCUCCUUUAUUUUAAGAAUCAGGGGUUGCACACCGCCGAUAUAGAUGAAGCAAUCGACGAUGUAUUUUUGUGUGGAUUUUCAUCUACUCCGCAUGGGCGACGUUGAUGAAGCGAUCGUGCCAUGGUCGUAGGUUUUGACAUGGGCGACGUUGGUGAGGCGGUCGUGCCAUGGUUGUAUAUUUUUACAUGGGCGACUUUGAUGAGGCGGUCGUGCCAUGGAUGUAAAUCUCCGCAUGGGCGACGUUGAUGAGGCGGUCGUGCCAUGGUUGUAUAUUUUUACNNNNNNNNNNNNNNNNNNNNNNNNNNNNNNNNNNNNNNNNNNNNNNNNNNNNNNNNNNNNNNNNNNNNNNNNNNNNNNNNNNNNNNNNNNNNNNNNNNNNNNNNNNNNNNNNNNNNNNNNNNNNNNNNNNNNNNNNNNNNNNNNNNNNNNNNNNNNNNNNNNNNNNNNNNNNNNNNNNNNNNUUUGAUGAGGCGGUCGUGCCAUGGAUGUAAAUUUCUGCAUGGGCGACGUUGAUGAGGCGGUCGUGCCAUGAUUGUAUAGUUUACAUGGGCGACUUUGAUGAGGCGGUCGUGCCAUGGUUGUAUAUUUUUACAUGGUCGACUUUGAUGAGGCGGUCGUGCCAUGAUAAAGAUUUAUGGAAUAGCCAAGUAGACAUCAUUCUUCUUCCAUCACACAAAGCUCAUUGAUGUGAUCAGAUCUUAUAACUUACCAUCAAGGCCCACGGUUGUUGCAAAGAUCAACAUGUUGAUGAAGCUUCGGCGUCGUCCGCGGUCGACGAAACUUUUACGGUGAAGAUUGAGAAGGGGAAAAAAGGCGUGGAGUUGGCGGCGUGCUUGAGGGCGAGAGCUUUGGCUGGUGUGCGUGGAGCCUGUCGGCGUGGAUGUGUUUUAUACGUGCGUCCUCCUCCCCAACGAGGGCUGGCCUCUCGCUUUAUAUAGGCGCUGGCCGAGGCUUCGAUCCUAUCGGUUCACCAAUCGCGUGGCCGUUUAAACUUCCUCCAGCUUUAUCCCAAGCUAGCUUGGCGUAUACGUAUAUGACUCCUCCGUAGGAAUCGGAUCGAACUGCUUUGGCUCCUUUACGGUUUGGGACAUAAGAUUAUGUGUACAUGCUUUCCUUCAAUAGAAUAUGUUAUUUGCAUGGCACGGGCUCACGUGAGCAACCAUUAGGUGUAAUUACUAGAAUUUGACGUGGUCCAUGUCAAUUACAAAAUACGCGCUAGCUUUGUACAUGCAAACAACCCUCUUCUCAUGAUUCUUUUUCUUAAACCAAAGUGCAAACCAUCAAACUAUUUGCACCAUUGUAAUCUACAUGAUGAACUCUACAAAUGGAGUAUAAUAUUUAAUAUAUUCCAUUUUUUUGAAUUUAUUGGCGCGUGGGACCCACACGUCAUGGGGUAGCACUUUCAUAAAUCAAAGUUAUAUAUUUUUUCACGUAUGCGCUCAUAUUUAUUUGUAGGCCGGUCCAUCCUAGCUCAUACAAAAAAAAACUAGGCUUAGGGCAUACAAAAAUCCGUCAAACAAAUGAUUUUGUUUCGCCAAAAAGAAACGCGCCGCUCCCUUUCUAAGGGAGGGUAUUUCCUAAUGCGUACAAGAAGUAAAAUCGCGGGUGUGCCACUUGUUUUAUGAAAACAAGAAAUAAAUAGACAGAAAAAUAAGGGACAAAUACAUAUACGGAACAUUGCACUUUAUUGAUCAUUGUAUUGAAUACAAAUACAUUGUACAAGCUCCAUAGGAAUUAUCCUUCUGCCUUCUGCGUCGCGCUGAAGGAGUAUCUGACUGAAGAGAUUGUGUAGUUCGCCGAUUCCCGAUGCGUUUGCAAGCAACCGGUUAAUUACAUCCAUGGGGUCGAUCCCACGGAAUACCUCCGAUUAAGCUGCGCUGAUGGUCGUCGUCAUGUGUUGCUCAUCCAUAUGCAUGUGAUAUUUUAUGUGGAUAUUUGUGCGGGUGGCUUUGUUUCGCCGAAACCCAGUCACGAGUACUAUCGCCAUGUUGAUGUGACCAACAGGAUGUGUCGAUGAAGGGGAUGACUUUCGCCUCGUCGGUACCCAGUCAUGUGAUGCCCUGACUUCAUCGAACGCGGACAUGUGUAUGUUGCUAUCGCCUCGUCGGUACCCAGCGACGGUGUGUCCAAUCCGGUAGGUUUGUGACAUGUUGGUGACCCGGCCUCGUCGGCACUUGGCCAGAAUUUCAUCCAGCCUCGUCAGCCCUAGACGUAUGAUGGAGAUAAUGGUGUGCAUAGCCUUUUGUCUCGUCAACACUCGGCCAAGAUGUCGAUGUGGAAUAUAUCACAGAUGCAUUUGAUGAUGCUUGCCAAUAAAACGAAAUCGAUCUCACUUCCCCGCAAGAGCGAAAUCAAUGUGGAACUGUAUGGACGUCGCCUCCUCGUGAGGGGCGAAAAAGAGUAAUACUUUAUUUAUCUCGUUCUCUUGCGAGAGACAAACCAACGUAUAAUUUGUAACCUCGCCUCCUCACAAGGGGGAAAUUGAUAUAAUAUUUUAUUAAUCUCGUCACAUUAUGAUAGGACAAAAUUAAUGUGUAUGUAUUUGACUCCCUCGUACUUGGCCAUAGCCACGUACGCUCAGUCACAGUUUGCAUGAAGCAAUGGUUUUAGACUCGCUUUGAUGGAGGAUUUGAUGCUCACUGGUACAGUUCUGGGUGCUACCAUGUUCACCGGAUCGAUUUACCGUAGUAUAUGUCUUCAGAAAAGAGGAUCAAGAAGACGAAGAUUUGGAAAGAUUUCUUAGAUCAAGAUGACAAGGUUUGAUGGGAUUGCUUACCAACGAAGGAGAUGAGCGUGGUUUGGUUCACCAUGUUGUCCACGAGAAAUCACUAUAGUGUUUCUUUCUUGGUUUAUUAGAUGACGUCUCUUGCGGCGCCGUCUUUUGAAGAGAUUGGCACAAGAUCAAUAUGUAUGGGGUGUACCUCGGCAUCUACGCGGUAGUACGGCGUCACUGUUUUAUUUAGCGAAUCAGCAUACUCCCAGCGUGAGCUUAGGUGAGAUAUAUGUGAGAGACUUGACGAGAUCUUCGGCGUGUUCUUGCUUCUCGCGUGCUCCCGUGCAACUUCUUUGUGUACCAUAGCAUCUACGCGGUAUUACGGCGUCGCUGUCUUGUUUAGCGAAUCGGCGUAGUCCCGGCAUGAGCUUAGGCGAGACAUGUGUGAGAAACUUGAUAGAUUGGUGGAAGAUCGAUGUGGUGUACCUCGACAUCUACGCGGUAUUACGGCGUCGUUGUCUUGUUUAACGAAUCGGUGUAAUUCCAGCGUGUGCUCAGGUGGAAUUUGGAUGAGACUUAGACAAGAAACUCGGCUUGUUCUUGCUUCUCAGCCGGCUCCCGUGAAAGUUCUCGAUGUGUGGGACGACCAGCCUGGGCUUCUUGUUUCCUCGUGCCCUUCUCGCGGCUGGCCUCCCUUUUUUAGAGGAUAGGUGGAAAGUUGAUCUUGUAUAUGGAGGGUACCUCGGCAUCUAGAUGGUAUUACGGCGUCGCUGUUUUGUUUAGCGAAUCGGCGUACUCCGAGCGAGUGCUUAGCUGAGAUUAAAUGAGAAACUUGACAAUAGUAUUGGCUUUCCUAUGGACACAAUGUGAUCUUGGAUCACUAAAGUAAAAUGUAGAGUCUCGAGCUUUUAAAGCUUGAGCCAAUCCUUUGUCCUUAGCAUUUUGAGGGGUCCACAUUCCUAAUCCAUGCCAUGCCAAUCAUUAAACUUUCCUGAAAUAUUCAUCUUGAAAUAGCAUUAGUUAAAUGAGCUAUAUGUUGUUAAUCAUUACCAAAACCACCAAGGGAUAGUUGCACUUUCACUAUAAAACUUGGAAAUCCAGGAAUACCUACCAUACCUUGCUCCAUAAAAAGAAAUUAUGUUAAAACUGCUUUGUGUGAUUUAGGAGCUGGUGUUAGUGUGAUGCGUUUCUCUUUAUAUAAAAGACUUGAUUUGAAUAAACUCACACCUACUGAAAUAUCUUUGCAAAUGGCUGACAAAUGAACUGCCAUACCUAUAGGUAUUUGUGAGGAUGUGCCGGUUGUUGUUGCUAAUGUUACUAUCUUAACUGACUUUGUUAUACUUGAGAUCCCCGAGGAUGACAACAUGUCAAUUAUCCUUGGUAGACCCUUCCUGAACAUUGCAGGGGCUGUUAUUGAUUGCAAUAGGAGCAAGAUCACUUUUCAUAUCAAUGGUAAUGAGCAUACAGUUCAUUUUCCAAAGAAACAAUUCCAAGUGAAUGCUAUAAAUGUUAUUGAAAAAUCUCUGUCACUCAUUAUUGGAAGUUUUCAUCUACCUCUACCUAUUUCCAAAAAGAAAUAUGAAAUAUUUAUUGUUGGGGACAUUCAUAUCCCCGUUGAGGUAACUUAGUGUUUUACGAAAGUUCUUCGGUUUCAUGCUAAUCGAAGGUGGUUGUUAAUAAGACUUGAUCAACCUUACUAAUGGAUCAUUUUUUGAGAGAGAAUGAAGUUAAUGAAUUUAGUGAGCACAAUUUUUUUUCCUAAGUUUUAUUUUCUGUUUUUCUUAGUUAAAUAAAAUAAAAUGACAUGCUUUGUCUGUUUUCUGUUUUACACGUGCAAUAAAAAAUGACCCAAAAUUAAAAGUGCUCAGAAUGUCGUGAAAAUUUAAUACGAUUUUCUUCUGAAUAUUUUUGAAUUUCUAGUGCAAAUAAUAUCAGAGGGGGUGCACCAGGUGGGCACAACCUACCUGGGCAUGCCAGCAACCCCAGACAUGCCCUGGUGGGUUGUGGUCCCCAUGUGGUCCGCCUCACUUAUCUAUUCAGCCCACUACUUGUCCUACCUCUAGAAAAAAAAUCACCAUUGCUCUCUCUCUUUCUCUCUCUCUCAUGUUCUUGCUCUCAAACCCACGAAUUUCAAUCUCUUUGCUCGAUGCUUCAUUUCCGAAACUAUUUCGGGGGAUUGUUGCUUGGUAUGUGACUCCUCCGUUCCUCCAAUUAGUUUUUGCUUUAGUGGUUUAUACUUUGAAUAAUUAGCUACUCAUGUGCUGAUGUAGAUGAGCGUACAAGUUGAAUUCUUAGAGUUCUAUGUAGUUUGAAUGCUCAAAAUGGUCUCUAUGCAUGCUCUUGAGUAGUUGGUAUUAAUCUUGUUAAGUUUUGUAGACAAAAAAUUUGUGAACUAAAAUUUUCAGAAUUUUAUUUAUAGGAAUAAGAUGAGUUUCUUUAGGAAGUUUGCCUCCAAGAAAAAUGCCAAGGGAGUCAUUGGGGAACCAUCGGAUAGUGAUCUCCACACUCCAAGAAGGCCAGAAGUACGACCGUACAAAUGGCCGCAUUAUCCCUUCAUGGAGGGGGCCGGAAUCCAUCGAGAAUUAGCACAAAUUUGCUGCAAAUGCUGGGUUAACCAACUUCAUCGGAGCUGAGUGUGAACAAUACCAUAUCCUUACAAAUUCCUCUGUGCAAAGUUUUCACUUUCUGAGAAGGAACUAUCCUCCAGAAGUGCGGUUUAAUUUAUAUGUUGAACCUCAACAAAUACCUCUUACCGACUUUUGUGACAUAUGAUUUAUGCCUUCUGACGGUGAUAUAAGAGAGCCUAAACCUGCAGAGUUCGAUGACUUUUAUCGUACUCUAUCAGUGGGAGAUGAGAGUGGGGUGUCGAGUGUUACCUCCACUAGCUUGCAGUUUCCUUCUAUGUAUUAUUUUGCUCUAUUCAUUGCAAAGUGUUUUCUUGCUAGAGAGAGGGUUGGUGCACUUAGUACCCCUAAUUUUGCUGUCUUACGCCGCACAAUAUACGACGAUAACACCUUUAGCCCUGGGGCCAUCAUCGCACGUCGCUUGCACCUUAACAGAUCCAAGGGUAAAAUUCAUGGCGGUAUUUAUGCUACUCGCUUAGCGAGACACUUUAAUGUUCAGAUCUGCGAACAUGAUUUUCUUUUGCCCAAGGUUCAUCUAGACCAUCAGUCUAUGGCAGAUCACCAGUUUACAGAUUUUGAUAACACUAUUCAUAAUAUUUCAUAUAACCUGGUUUUCAAUGUGGAUACCCGUGAUAUUAUUCCAUUGCCUGCACCUGCUUUGUUUGAUUUUAUUGCCAGGGGCGGACACAGGAUUAUGCCAGAUGACAUCAUUGCCUACUAGAACACUCAGGCAGCUGUAGAGGAGAAGCCUCAGGAUUUGGACGCUCAGGUGUCGCCUCCACAGAACUUUGACUUGGGAUAAGAUAGCUUCUUCGGAUGGUGAUUACCAAGCUAGACCAAAAGCCUAAGCUUGGGGGAGUACAUAUUUCCACCGACAUUACAUUCAUGUUCACACAUUUCAUUCUAGUUGUCGGUGUUCACACUUUUUCAUUGUAAUAUCCAUGCUAGUUUUAUUUUCUAGCUUUCUUCUUGUGUGUUCCAAAAACUUUGAGAAAAAUCCAAAAUUAUGUCUUGCUUCUUUUCGGGUUUUUCCUUUCUAGCUUAAUUAAUUGUAGUAUUAAAAAGAAAACUCAAAAAGAUUUCCUAGUUCUUCUUUUGCUUGUUGGGAGCUUUCCCGUGUAAAUAGUUUUUCUCAUUUUUGUUCUUCUUUCUGUAGUUUUCUUUCUUCAAGAAAAACUAAAAACUCCAAAAAUAUUUCAGUGUGUUUCUUUGAAUUUCUUUUUGUUUGUUGAGUUGUACCAAGGAGAAGACCACGAUGAAAAUGUUGAGUGGCUCUCAUAUGAAUAAUUAUUGAUCUAAUAAAGACCUCAAAUUACCUUGUCUCCUCCUUUCAAAUAAAAUGUGUUUGCAGAUUACAGCUUGGUCCAUGGCACUCUUGCACUAUUAUUAUUUUCAUAUCAUUCGGUCGUGCAAGUGAAAGGCAAUAAUGACGAUAUUUGAUGAACUGGCUGUGGCAGAGAGAAAUGGGUAUGAGCUCAACUUGUUCUAUUUUUGUAAAUAUGUUUAACCAAGUAUCCAUGAUUCAACUUAUUAUGAUCAAACAUGUUUGCAAUGACAAUUAGAGAUUAUAGUUUCUCAUGCCAUGCUUAGGUAGCUAGGAGUGGAUAAUGAUUUAUCUUGGGUGUCAACAUGCAUUAAAAUGAUUGUGAUGUAGUAUGAUGAUAUGGUAUCCUCCUCCGAAUAUUUCAAGUGGCUUGACUUGGCACAUGUUCAUGCAUGUAGUUGAAUCAAAACCAACAUAGCCUCUAUGAUAUUUAUGUUCAUGGUGUUCGUAUCCUACUCAUGCUAGUGUUUAAUGUUACUUAUGCAUAAUGCAUGUUCAUGACCGUUUUCGCUCUCUAGCUGGCUGCUUCUCAACCUAUUUGCUAGCCUUCGCAUGUACUAAGUGGGAAUACUACUUGUGCAUCAAAAUCCUAAAACCCAAGUUAUUCUAGAUGAGUCCACCAUAUCUACCUAUAUGUGGUAUUACCCUGCCGUUCCAAGUAAAUUUGCAUGUGCCACCUCUAAAAACUUCAAAUAAAUAUAUGUUUUUGUGUGCCUGGAUUGUUCAUAGAGUGACAUGAGGUAGUUGAUAUCUUCCAUGCUAAGCGGUUUAUUCUCAUGAUGAGUGUUCAAUCACUCGUCCUUGCACAAGAGGGGCGGUAAAAGGGAUUCCUAGUCCCACAAUAAAAUAAAAUUGCAAAUAAUUAAACAAAACUCCCCCAGGAUUGAUGUUGGUAUGGACGUUACCCGUGGAUUUGGCUCACCGUGGAGUGUGAUUGUUUGUGAAGGGGGAGUAAACCUUUACUUUAUCGCUUAGGAACUGCCACUAAUGUGUUUAGCAUGGAAGAUAUCGAUAACUAAUGGUCACGAAGUAAACAAGAAGGGUGCAUUUCUCAAAAUUUUAUUUACCUUUGUUUAAAAAAAUGAGCUCUAGCACCACUGCAAAUCACUGCUUCCCUGUGCGAAGGGACUAUCUAUUUAAUUUUACGUUGUGUCAUCACCUUCUCAAAUAAGCUCCAGAUCUGAGAGCACUAUUGUCAUCCUCACGCAUUGUGUGUAGCUAAUGUUGGAUGCAUCAUGACUGGAUCUUUUCUACCAUGAAUUACAAUGUUUAGUUGCUGCUUGAACUUUGGAGGUGCUCUGCAUUUAUGUUUUGUGGUCUCAGAAAGGGCUAGCGAGAUACCACUGUUCUCAUAUUAUAUCAUGGUUGUUUUGACAAAGUGUUGUCGUUUGAGAUGCUUUAUUAUUGCUCGCUAGUUUCUUAGGCCAUUGAUAUGAGUUAACAUAAUUUUUAAGAGUUAUUGUUGACAUGGUUAGUCAUAAUCUUUGAUGAAAACCUGGGUGCUAGUUAAACUUAUUUAUGUAAACAAGAGCAAAAAAGUUCGUAAAAGUUUUGCUUUCUCACUUUCAGUUUAUCAACGGAAUUGCUUGAGGUCAAGCAAAGGUUUAAGCUUGGGGGAGUUGAUACGCCUCCAACGUAUCUACUUUUCCUAACGCUUUUUCUCUUGUUUUGGACUCUAACUUGCAUGAUUUGAAUGAAACUAACCCGGACUGACGUUGUUUUCAGCAGAACUACCAUGGUGUUGAUUUUGUGCAGAAAUAAAAGUUCGCAGAAUGGAACGAUUUUUUUGGAAAUUUUUUAUAAAAUAAAAGAAAAAUAUGGGAGCCAAGAACCAUCGGAGGGGGUCACCUGGGUGGGCACAACCCACCAGGGUGCGCCCCCACCCUCAGGCGCACCCAGGUGGGUUGUCCCCACCUGGUGGCCCCAGUUGACCUAUCUCCAAUGUUAUAAGUUCAUUUUUGGGGAGAUAAAAAUUAGGGAGGAAGAAUUAUCACAUUUCAUGAGACGGAGCCGCCACCACCUCCUGUUCUUCAUCGGGAGUCCAGAUCUGGAGUCCGUUUGGGGCUCCGGAGAGGGGAAUCUUCGAUCUUCGUCAUCACCAACCCUCCUUCAUCGCCAAUUCCAUGAUGCUCCCCACCAAGAGAGAGUAAUUCCUUCAUAGGCUCGCUGGACGGUGAGGAGUUGGAUGAGAUUCAUCAUGUAAUCGAGUUAGUUUUGUUAGGGUUUUAUCCCUACUAUCCACAAUGUUCUAAGAUUGAUGUUGCUAUGACUUUGCCAUGCUUAAUGCUUGUCACUUUGGGCCCGGGUGCCAUGAUUUCAGAUCUGAACCAUUUAUGUUAUCACCAUUAUAUCUAUAUUCUAGAUCUGAUCUUGCAAGUUACAGUCACCUAUUAUAUGUUAUGAUCCUUAAACCCCGGAGUGAUAGUAUUCAGGAUACUUUCCGGUGAUGACCGUAGUUUGAGGAGUUCAUGUAUUCACUAUGUGUUAAUGCUUUGUUCUGGUUCUCUAUUCAAUGAGGCCUUAAUAUCCCUUAGUUUCCUUAUGGACCCCGCUGGCACUGGAGGGUAGGACAUAAGAUGUCAUGCAAGUUCUUUCCAUAAGCACGUAUGACUAUUUACGGAAUACAUGCCUACAUUUCAUUGAUGAACUGGAGCUAGUUUUGUAUAUGAUGAAUAUGAUCCAACGUAUGACUGGUAUAUGAUGAAUAUUAUCCAACGAAUCCACCGAUCCAAUGCCUACGAAUUUCCAAUAUAUUGUUCUUGCUAAGUUACUACUGUUGCUGCUACUGUUACAACUGCUACAAAAUUACUGCUAUCACUAUUACUGUUACUGCUACUAUUAUCACUACUAUCAAACCUAUCAUAUUACUGUGCUACUGAUCCUAUUGCUGCAGAUAUUUAAUCUCAAGUUGUGGUUGAAUUGACAACUCACACUACUACAGGAUGCUGCUAACGCGACACUACAAUCAGAGACCCUUUCGACGAAACUGUGUGCGAUGCAAUAAUCGCAAACGGUGGUGUAAAAUAUCCUUCAAAAAACGUGCAAAACAUUUGCGAUGGCGGGCAGAUCAAACACAGUUCAGUUUUUAGUUGCGUAUGCGAUGCUCGGCAUGCGGUUGAUCCAUAUGAAAAUGUUUGUGAUUAGACAGAACAACAAAAAUGGGCAGCCAUAUCAAUGUGUGUGCGAUAUACAGCAUACAGUUCGCUCGGACGAACUGUUUGCGAUGACCGAGGUGAACACAAACGAUUCAGUGUAACAAGAUGUGUGUGAUACCCGGCAAACAGGUCGGUAAUCAGAAUUGUGUGCGAUCAUUAUGGACAGCCCAUACGGACUUUUUUGUGAAUUGUGUGCUCGUCAGGGCACACAGUUCAACAAACCAACAUGUGGGCGAUAAUGUAGAAGAUCUCUGUCGAAUAUGUAUUACUAACCAUCUGCGAUGAGAUUGACACGAUAAACAGAGAUAACAAAUUAAUAUGAGCAAACGGAAACAGAGAUUUGUACAGUCUGCUUAAUUUAGUCCUUCUUCUUCUUCUUCUUCUUGUUGGAUGGCCCGCGACAUCGUCUUGGUGAGGACACUUCUUGCCGCUGAUGGUUGGCUUUUCAUCGUCACAGCCGUCGUCAUCGUCGUUGCUGUCGUCGUCGUCCUCCUCCUUGUUCGACCAUUCCUCCUCCUCAUCAUCGUCGUCCUCUUCUCCGUCCUCCGAUGGCUCCACGUCUAUCUGGUUGUCGUCUGACGCCUCCGGAGGCGGCAUCCCUUCCAUGAUCCGGAUGUAAUCGAGAUCUAGGCUUGAUGCCGGACGAAUGGGAGACGAGCGGGAUGAUUCCGAUGUUGACAUAUCAUCGAGCGCUAGACUGCUGGCCGAACUGUCGUCCUCGCUGUCGAUUAACAUGGCUGCAGAGUGUGUGCCAGUGUGUAGCGCGGCGUGCUGGGGACGAUGAAGAUGGUGGACACUUAAGCGGGGUAUGCAGAGAAGAGGAAAUGCCAAUUUAAGCGGGGGUUGAUGUAUUAUCUAACCGCUGAUAUAAUCAACCGCAAUUAUUUUUACCAAGUCGCUCCAAAUUCCCGGGGUUGUGCAAGACUCCUAUUGGCUGGUUUAUUUUUUCAGGAAAAAAAGACGGAAGUUUUGGGAUUAUGCACUGGUACCGGUACGAACGGAGUAGGAUAGUUGGCAAGCAAUACAGUGAGCUCUUCUUAUUGAUAAAGCCAGUAAUAAUCAAACUACAAAGGAAAAGAAAAAAAGACAAAGGAAAAUAUCUGCACGAAUCUUCACGUAACAUCAAUGGCAUAGGACCUAGAUGUGCAUUACUUCACUACAAAAAAAAGACACAUCCGUGACAUUUUGGGCCGAACAAAUUUUUUUUCUGUCAUACAUAUGACACUUCUAUGACGAUAAUUGUGACAAAACCCGGUAUCAUCAUAGAUGUGGUGGGCUCCUACUUCUAUGACAAAAAAUCAUGACAGAAAAUGGGCUUUUCGUCCGGGGCGGGCCGGAGACGCAGCUGCAUGACAUUCUUUGGGUCGUCCAUGACGGAAAAAACCAUGGUAGAAGCGAGGGGGACGAAAAUUUCGGGGAGUUGCCGGUUACGGUGGGAGGUCGGGGGCCGAGCGAUGCACGUUUCUCUCGUACGUACGCGCGUGUGUGUGCGAGGCGUUGGCUCUAACUGAAGCCGAGCGAGGCGUUGGGCUCUAACUGAACCCGAGCGAUUGCACUGCACGCUACACAUUACUGAACCCGAGCGAUCGAUCGAUGGCUGUUAACAGAACCCGAUGGAGCGAUUUCUUUGCUACUGCUGCUAACUGAAGCCGAUCGAUUGGAUGAACAGUGAGUGUUGCGGGGGGGGGGUUGGAUGAAUAGUGAGCGGUGGCGUUGCCUCUGGAUGAACAGGAACCCGUGGUGUGGAGGGCUGGAUGAACAGUAGACGGUGGAGGGGUGGUUGAACAGGACCCCGUGGUGUGGAGGGCUGGAUGAACAGUAGACGGUGGAGGGGUGCCCGUGGAGGGGUGGUUGAACAGUAGCCAGUGGAGUAGCGCGCGAUNNNNNNNNNNNNNNNNNNNNNNNNNNNNNNNNNNNNNNNNNNNNNNNNNNNNNNNNNNNNNNNNNNNNNNNNNNNNNNNNNNNNNNNNNNNNNNNNNNNNNNNNNNNNNNNNNNNNNNNNNNNNNNNNNNNNNNNNNNNNNNNNNNNNNNNNNNNNNNNNNNNNNNNNNNNNNNNNNNNNNNNNNNNNNNNNNNNNNNNNNNNNNNNNNNNNNNNNNNNNNNNNNNNNNNNNNNNNNNNNNNNNNNNNNNNNNNNNNNNNNNNNNNNNNNNNNNNNNNNNNNNNNNNNNNNNNNNNNNNNNNNNNNNNNNUUCAUCCGUUUUGCGGUACGCCACACCCCUCCCGAUCAACAGGACCCCCGUUUCGACCGUAGGAGGUCCGUUUCCUCCGUUUUGCGGUACGCCACACCCCCCCGAUAAACAGGACCCCCGUCUCGACCGUAGGAGGUCCGUUUCCUCCGUUUUGCGGUAUGCGCGACUAGGCAUUCGAGACCCCGCUCGUAUGUAUGCAUACGUGACCGUAUUUUCUUUCUUGCACCCUGGCCGAUGUACGUACGUGUACAUGCUACAUGCGCGCCUCUACUACGACACGUGCGCGCCUCUACUACGACACGUGCGCGCCUCUACAUUGACCAGUAUGUACGUACAUGUUCGCGACCAGGAUGACAAUGCUACGUACGCUUCGACCAGGUGGGUCCCGAAUUUCAGGCACUUCCUUGCUUGCGAAGAUGUAGCUGGUGGGUCCCAGCAGUCAGGGGUGCGAAUCGUUUUUUUUGCCCGGACGCACUUCCUUGCGUGCGAAGGUGUAGCUGCUGGUUCUCAGCAGUCAGGGGGGCGAAUCAUUUUUUUGCCCGGACGCACUUCCUUGCAUGCGAAGGUGUAGCUGCUGGGUCCCAGUAGUCAGGGGGGCGAAUUGUUUUUNNNNNNNNNNNNNNNNNNNNNNNNNNNNNNNNNNNNNNNNNNNNNNNNNNNNNNNNNNNNNNNNNNNNNNNNNNNNNNNNNNNNNNNNNNNNNNNNNNNNNNNNNNNNNNNNNNNNNNNNNNNNNNNNNNNNNNNNNNNNNNNNNNNNNNNNNNNNNNNNNNNNNNNNNNNNNNNNNNNNNNNNNNNGCCCGGACGCACUUCCUUGCGUACGAAGGUGUAGCUGGUGGGUCCCAGCAGUCGGGGGGCGAAUCUUUUUUUUCGGACGCACUUCAUUGCGUGCGAAGAUGUAGCUGGUGGGUCCCAGCAGUCAGGGGGAGAAUCGUUUUUUUUCGGACGCACUUCCUUGCGUGCGAAGAUGUAGCUCGUGGGUCCCAGCAGUCAGGGGGCGAAUCAUUGUUUUUGCGAAAUACGGUGGCCCAUCCGGUGGGUCCCCGCUGUCAGGUGGAGGAAUAAUUAUUUUGCGCGUAAUAAGGAGGCACUUCCUUGCGGCUGCCGUGGACCCAGCUGUCAGCCUCUCCACGUACAGUCCACGUUCGAUGGAAGUCGUUCCUUGACCAUGUUGACCACGCCAUGCAGAGAGCACCACGGCGGUGGACGACGGCGAGGCCUAGGAAGGGGACGACGCGGAGCCGGGGAAGACACGGUAGUGGAUGCACACGCGGAGAGGAGUAUGAGGGUUCACUGGUUCGGCUGUGCUGCCGUCGCUGCAGAAUAACAUGGGGUGUGGGUCAGUGGGUGAGUGGAGGGAUGGCCUGGCCAGCGGUGGGAGUAGUAGGGGGCGGUGAGGCCUUCGCGGCAGCACAGCCUGCCACGGGAGGCAGGAGCAGGCUACACGACCGGCGCUGCAUUGGGCGGCUGGAGCAAGAAGACCAGAGGUUGAAGAAGCACGACGGCCAUUGGAUGGACAUCAUACGGUCACUGCAGCUAGAAUCAUUUAUAUUGACUAAGUUGACAAAGCCCUUGGUACGUCAACUUAGUAGGCCCACAGGUUAGCUUCCGAAACGGUGCGCCCCAGAUGUUAGGGGGAUGAAUCAUUUUUUGGGCGGGUGAAGCUAGAAUAUCCGAGAUUGAAGAGGAAGCACGGCAUCCGUUGGAUGGACAUCCAACGGCCACUGCUGCUAGAACCGUAUGUUGACUAUAAGUUGACAAAGCCUUGCAUACCCGUCAACUCUGUUUUUAGGGGACGCGUCAACUUAAUAAGGCCAGAAGUGUGUGGCAGAGAACUUAUAGCCCAUUUGAGAUUUUUAAGAAUGUGUAGCACAUUUUUGAAUUCUAAUGGAAUUUACUAUAGCCCAUUUACAGUUUGUUAAAAGUACAGCCCAUUUCAACCAACCGUUCAAAAUAGAAUUCAAUAAAAUUUCCCACAUUUUGAUGGGAUCCAAAUAUUUUUAUCCUAAAAUUUUAGUCAGAUUAAAUAAAAUUUCAACAUAAAUUUAUAUUGCGUAAAAAUCCAAUGAAACAUUCCGCUCGCAACAAUUAAUGAAAUUAAAAUUUUCAAUAUUCCAAAAAUAAUAUUUUAUAAAGUAAUCACUGUUUGGUGCAUUUUUUAUAGUUACUACCCAGUUUUUAUAAUUACAUCCCAUUUAUUAUUUCUUAAAGCCCAUUUUCUUGUUAAGCCUAAUGCAUCCCUCCUAGGAAAGAUUUGCAGCCCAGCAGGGCGAAGAAUAACAACUUGACCUUGCCUGGGUAUUCCUAAAAAAAGUAUAGCUGGGCUAGCCAUUUUCAGCUUGAAAAAAAUUAAUAUCUGGGCUGGAUAUCUGGCCUGGGCUAGACGGGCCACGCCCAGUUAAUACCUGCAGCGAUGUUUUCGUUGUUGUUUUGAGGAGAAAAAUUAAUAUCUGGGGUAAACAUCGAAAAACUCUGCAGUGCUCACACCUCAAAAACACAAAUACUGCUCGAGCUGCUUGGUCCCAGCUGUCGGCCGCUUCUUGUGCAAUUCUCUCAUUUAUUGACUACUCCCUCCUUUCCAGUUUAUAAUGCUCAAUUCAAAAAUCUCACCAAUCAAGGUAGAUGGCGAGUGGUGGAAUACUUUUUCUAGUUUUGCAAAAGCACAUAAUUAAUGCUCUUGUUAUCCUCAAAAAAUUAUGUUUAUCAAUGCAUUAAUUACAAUGCAUGCAUGCAUAAAGUACAUGCAUUGGUCAAUUUUCUCUUAAUACUUGCAUGCAAUGAUUUAAUGCACCUUGGAAUCUGAACAUGUGAUGGAAAACAACCAAAUUGAGCCUUAUAGAAUGGAAAAACUAAAAUUUUGAGAUAAUCCCUAUAAACCGGAAAGGAGGGAGUACAUAGGUAGACAAUGGUGUGGGACUGUGAUGUCAGGAAACCAGGAGGAAGCAAAAUAAAUUAUAGUUAUAUAUAUAUAAUAAGGAGGCAUUUGCGUACAUGAGGCUAUGGACCUGGUGGGUCCCCAUUGUCAUCCUAUCCAAGUAAAGUGAUCUCCUCGCCCGCGUGCGCUUUCCGCCCCAAAAAAGUCAGCGCCGGCCGCCCCGCUUCCCGGUGCAGGCGAUUGCUCCGCCUUCAAACGACACAAGUGCCGUCCGUCUGUCCAUCUGCUGCUCACAUUAAUGAUAUGCGGUUGCCGAGGCGGCUACUCCGGCAUCACACGUCCAUCCCUCCGCCCGCCCACCAUUGCUAUAUAAACUGCCGCGCCGGCCAUAGCCGCAGUCAUCCGCAUCCGUUGCCUUUCUCCUGUCCACACCACUACUACCCACGAUGGCUUCCUCGCGCUCUAGCGCUCUUCGGGAUGGGCGGACGAUGGACCACAAGGAGAUAGCAGCAUUGCUGCCGACCGGCUGGCCGGCAGGCAGCCGGAGGACGACGAUGUCCCAAUGGAGAACAUGGUAGUCGACGAUCCGGCGCCAACCCCCUCCUCCGUGCCAUCGUCGCCGGUGCAUUGCACCAUGACCAUCGGCGAGGCCCGUGCCCAAUAUAUGGACAGGGUGAGGCAGAUGCGUGAGAAGCAGUUCCGGGAGGCGCAGGCCGACGCCGCCUACAACCACCAUGUCCUCCAGGAGCACCUACAGGCGGAGGAGCAGAUCGCCGCGGAGCGGGCGGAGCAGGAGGCGCUGCUCGACUGGUACCGCUCCGCCUGCAAGGGCCGCCUCGAGCGCUGGCGGUACCGCAUGCGGGUGGCGGAGGCUGUGGCCGCCUACAAAAAGACUAGCAAAGAGGGCGAUGAAGUGGGCGAGGCACUGUUUGGCGAGACCGAGGAUGAGGCAGAGGACAACGCCGGCUCCGACGAGUCCCCGCUCUGCUGGCAUCGACGACGCCCUGCUCCGCCGACGCCUCGCGGAGCCAACAAUGAGGCAGAUGACACCGCCGGCUCCGCCGAGGCCCCGCGGUGCCAACAACGAGGUAGAGGACAUCGCCGGCUUAGCCGAGGCCCCACCAUGCCGGCGACAUGGGGGAGGAUUUCCACCGCUCCGCUGAGGCGCCGCCCGCCGGCAACAAGACAGAGGCAUCGCCGGCUCCGCCGAGGCCCCGCCCCGCUGCAAAUGAGGCCCCGCCACAUAGAAAACAAGGAAGAGUAGAACACGGUAGGUCGCCGCCGCUCGGGUCCAAGUAAGGCCACCGCUGCUACCCUCCGGUUGAAGCCAAGCUAGGCGGGUUGACCAUUGACAGUCGGUUAGCUUCUUGGCGGCGACGUGGAGUCGGAGAGCUGCGCUAGAGAAGAACACUGCUUCUACUUAACUGCUGGUGCAGUUGGCUGACUGACACAUGGGCCCAACAGGCCACAUGUUAGUUACGCAACUACACCUGCAGUUAAGUCACUGAAGCUUCUGUUUGGCUCAGCAAGACAUAGGUGGGUAGCUUCGGUUAAUUAAUUAUACCUCCAGCGCACCCCUUUUUAGUUUUUUUUCGAAAAGGAGGAUGACCCCCGGCCUCUGCAUCUAGGAGAUGCAUGCGGCCACAAACACCCCUUUUUAGUUGAAGAAUGUAUGAAAUGUAAUGAAAUCCGGCAUGUUUAUAUGUAAUCUGACCGUGUAUGAAUGAAUUUAAUUCGAUUAGUUCGAAUUCAUGUAUCACUGGCAUUGGAUGAACAUGCAAAACAAUACGUACUAGCAUUAUUCCCAGGGUGAUCACUACGUUUGCAGCAGUUUCACAUGUACUCCCUUCGGUCCUUUCUGGUCUGCAUACAAGUUUUGUCUGCAGUCAAUGUAUCUCUACUUUGACCAAUCUUAUACAAAAAUGUAUGCACUUUCACAAUGUGCGAAGUAAAAAGGAACAGAAGGAGUACAAAGAGUUUGAGCAGCUUUCUAGCGUUUCUGUACAUUGCAAUCAAACACACAUGCCAGGCAAUUCAUAGAGAACAUUCAAAACAAUCGAUGAUUAUGCAUCUCAGUGAUUCACAUGUCAGAGGCAAUAUUUACUUCACAACUAAAGAAUAAAGAAAAAAUUGAUCACCACUGCUGAUAGCAAAGGGCGUCCCAUUCAAAAAUAUCAAACACAUAUCUUGCUAAAAUCAAUGAGCAAAAUUUGACAAGGUUAUCCCAUUCCAAAAUAUCAAAUGCCUACGAUUGUGGAAUGGGCAGGGUUUGCCAUCAGUUGGGACAUUGACAUGGCAACUCGUGCUAAAUAAACUAGUUGUUCUUUUUGUGCAGUUCCACCAAAAUCAACAAAAUUCGCGCGUAGCUUGUAUGAUUUCGCCCUUAUAGGUUGCAACACCUUGAACUUAUGGGAACCUCUUUUCUUGUGGUGGAAAUGAAUGAUUCGAUGUAUUCAUGAACAUUUUGUGCAAUUCCCGUUGAAAUCAAGCUGAGCACCCCUGUUGGCACAAAUACGAAAAAGUGAUUAGCAUAAAGCAAACAGUACUAUGAAUUGACAGUUUCAACAGGCACAUACAUGGUCCAUGUAGAGCACACUUUUAGAAAAAUGGAACUCACCAGAAAGAAUCCUAGAAAAACAUUGUACUUGCGCAUCACAGCAAAAAAAUGGAGAUUUGUCAGUCCUUCUGAGCUGAAGUUAGUUUGGUCUUGUGGGGAGUAAUGUAACCAUCCUUCAACUGCUCCUUCUGAUGAGAAGAUAGACAAUGCUUCUUCAUCCUGGCAUAAUCGGAACUAGUCACUUCACGUACUCCAUAUUCUUCUUCAGAGGAAGAUGAUCCUGUUGUGCAAAGAAAAGAGGACUACUAAAUGCUAGCAUCCAUGUUUUGCUCGAAAAAAAGGAAAGGAAAUAUUUAAAACAGCACAGAUGAAGCACUUCCCAAGGACAAUACCACUUUUUCAUGACAAUAUCUAAACAGUAGCACAACACCAAUAGGGAUGACAAAGCUCAAUCAUAUGGAUGAAAUCAGUGGGCGAGUACCAACCUUUGUCAGGAGGCUGAUUGUGUAGAGCAUAUAGAUGAAGCACUUCUCAGGAACCAUUUUUGCUAUCUACGGGGGUGGCCAUGCUUACUAUAUACUCCUCAAUUAGUUUAAUGUUUCCAACAUCUUCUUGUGCAGUUCCACUAAAAUAUAUGGUAUGUUCAAAGAAGAUCCCUGUUUGCAUAAGUAGAGAUAAUUAUGUAUGGUAUCAAAUCAGUGGCAAAACAAGUGCUCGUUCCAGCCAUAACAAUAAAUUAGGAUGCAAAACUAUAUCAUUACUUGUGUCAUCACAGUUCCAGUGCUUCAUUACAGCACCGGGAGUUGAUUUUUGUUUUUCUUCCGCUUGUUCUUCCCCGUCAUCACUUGGUUCAAUAACAGACAAGCUUCGCCUUCAAUGUAAGAUUUGGCAUGUAAAUUAGGGAGCACAAGUAUAGUACUAAACUUAAUUUUCUGAUGAAAGUGGCAAAAUACACGCCAGCAGUUGUGAAGUAUCCUUAUCUUACCUCAAUGGGAUCUUACGGUGCACAUACAAAUUGGAAGUCUUGUCUCCAUUUGUGCAGUUCACUAAAAUCAAGCAACAUUAUCGUACAAGUAGCACAACAUAUGAAAGCACACUGCAGAAUCAUGUGAAAGAAGGCUAGUACUGACCUCUCAUGAUGCGGAAUUCAAACAACUCACAAGAAGAAGAUCUGAACCAAAUUCGCUUCAACGGAUAGGAAGUAAGAUCUCCUCUUGUGCAGUUCCACUAAGAUCAAGCAAUCAAGCAACAUUGUCGGUGUGACAUUUUGGUUGAACUGCACAAAACACUCUUAAAACAAAAGUGUUUUGUGCAGUGCAACAAAAGGUCACAAUGGCAACAAGGUGAAAUAGAUAACCCUUUUUACACAGAGGUGCAAAGGAAACAAUUAGUGGUCAAUAACGGUGGAUGACACAGAAGCCAACAAAAAGAAGCAUCGACCUUAUCUAAAUGGGAAAGAAAGCAAGACAGUAGCAUUUCUCAAACGGUGGCAUUGAUUAAUAUUAACAUAGAGAUUAUAUUAACAAUAAAAUCCGUUAAACAUGUAAUUUGCUUUUAACUGUGGCAUUGCAUCAAUUUUCCAGCGGCAUUAUUAGAGGGUGUUUGUUUACAGGGACAUUUUGGUGUAGGGACUAAAAAAACUCCGUGUCAGUCACAUCUAAACCAAACAGGAGGGACUUUUCGGGAGUAAAAGUGGGCAUUUGGGACUAAAGAAAGAAGACCCCGAGGGAGUCUUUUUGGGACUUUUUCCAACAGUUGCCCCUGCCACGCAUCGCACUUUGUUUCUAUUAGUUCAUUACUAGGGGUAACAUGGUCUUUUAUCAUGUCAUUUAAUAACCUCUAGUCCAUGUUUAGUCCCUAGAACCAAGCAAGUAGAGACUAGGGAGUUUUUAACCAAAGAGGGUCAUAGGUUAACAACAGCUAAUGAGUUGCACGGGACAAUGGACGCACCAGCACCAUGUGCAUCUACCAAUGUACUGUGGUCAUGCACAGUCUAUUGCAACAAAGAACAAACAACCAAGGAGCAUAUUUGUGUUGGUCCUAGUUUUGUUAUCUUUAGACACCUUUCCCUAUGUGAGCGCAGCAAAUCUAGUCCUGCUGAAACUCUAUAGCCUUGUCCCUUCCUUUCCUUUUUGAACUAGUACUUUCGCCCCUUCCUUUCCUCUUUGAACCACGUCCUAGAUUUAUGCGAUACAACUUUCCCCACUACUUUCCCCCAUUCCUUUCCUCUUUGAACCACGUCCUAGAUUCAUGCUAUACAACUUUCCCCCUUCAUUUCCUCUUUGAACCACGUCCUAGAUUCAUGCUAUAUACAACUUUUCCCACUACUUUCCCACACUCCUUUCCUCUUUGAACCACGUCCUAGAUUCAUGAUAUACAUGCAGCUAGAGCAAUGCAUGUGGAGUAAGUAAAAUAUACCUUUGUGACACUCCAAAAAAUUUCAUUUGGUUUUUCAACAAAAUUCCUUAUUUGAUUUGAAGGAGGCUUUUUAAAAUCUUUUAAAAAGACUCUCCCUCUCAAAUAUUUUCUAUUAUGAGAAAAUCUUUUUGGGGUUAUCCUCAACCUUGAUGGUUGGCUUUGAAGGUCCUUCAUUGAUGUUGACUCACCACAAAUUAUUUUUUAAAGGUUUUCUUUUAAAAAGAAAUCCUAUGAGUUUUGGUCUAUUCCUUUUCAUUCCAACCAUCCCCUUUAACCAUGUCUCAUAUUAAAUUUUUUCCCCAAAACACCUCCCUCCACUUUGGGGCAAGCCAAGUAACCAAUCCCAGCAAGUCCAGCUCAUUUUUGAUUUUUAUUCCAUUUAUUUUUCUCCAAAACCUAUUUCUGUUUUUAUUUUUGGACCUAGGUGGUUUACAAAGGAAGUACCAAAUCCCUUUUGAGUUUUGAUCUCAAACCAACUCCUCUGGCUAGUCCUUAACACCCACAACCUAGAUCCAUCAAGAUCCACUCUUCCACAAUUCAAAAUUUUCAAGUUUCACUCACUGCAAGUUUGGACCAGAUUCAUCAUUUCUGGUGAAAUUCAUAUUUCCUCUUCCCCAAAAAUUCUACCAAAAACCAGGCAACCCCCAGAUGCAUUGAGAGGCCACCUCACCAAAGAUCAGCCCCAGAUAAAUUGCCCACAUGCCAAAAUCAUUUCAUUGAACACCUUGCUUGCACUGUUACUGUGCAUGUUUAGAAAAUUCAGUGUUUCAGUCGACAGUCAGUGUCAUUUUCUUCAGAGUCUUGGCGUCGAUCUCACCAGUGCACACUCUGGUGCCUUGCGCACUGCUUUUCCUUCUUAUCCAGAGCGCCGCACGCUCUCUUGGACGUGCGUAGUUGUCGGUGGCGGCGUGCCUCGCCGACGCCGACAGCUUCUGCGGUGGCAGAGCCACCCGUGGCGACCAGUGGGAGCCAGCGCCAGCUUUCUGCGCCGUCCAGCACCGCCCAAAGCACCCGAGGCCUCCGCGUGGCCGUCUACUUGCUAGCGCACGCCGCAGCACCUUUGCCGUGGCUAGGCGAGCACAGGGCGCGCUCUCUGCCGCCGACGGGCCCGCGAGGUGCCGUUCCAUUGAAACCGCAGAACAAGCCUAAUUCAACCGAGUUUAAGGUUUAGAUGAAACCAGUGGAUCUCCACGUUGAUGCCCAGCCGCCUAAACCACCCGUCCGGCCACUGCACCACCAUAAUCGCCGCCGGAGUUAUCCCAUUCAUGGGAACCACCUCGGGCCGGCUAUAAAUAGCCAUCCCGAGCUCGCCUUCGACCAGCACUACUCCCUCCACCUCACCAAAGCCCUGCCAAGACACGAGGAGGACCCCGAGGAUGCCUUCUCCUCCGUCUCCGGCCGCCCCGUUCCGUCUCGGGCUCCAGCUCGAUCCACUCAGGUGAGGCCACCCCCGCCUGCCAUACCUCGUCAGUAGCCCUCUGGUGUACCCAGUGCUCUAACCCCAGCUUCAAUUCCACCUCCGUAGCUCUCCCCGACAAGGUCCAGCAACGCCCGAACCACCGUCCGCCGGAAUUGAGGCCGCCGUCGAUGUGGUGCUCGCCGACGACCAACUCCACCACCCACAGGUGCAGAAGGAAUCUAGGAACCCGUAGGUACCAACCACUCUUCCUAACUCGCCGUGGAUCUCCGCCGGCGACCACCGCAGCCUUCGGGCGCCGGCGCGCUCUGUUUUUCUCCCUCCAAAUUUCAAUCCUGACGAGUGGGACCCCCUCGUCAGUCUCUCUAUUUUAUUCGAACCGUUUUCUCUGGAAAGCACCUUCGGGCCAAAUACGCUUUCGAUCUAAAGCGUUUUUUUGGCUUUUUCUAUUCAGCCCCUGGAAAUUUUCUGUUUCAUUACAAACAAGUCCCUAGGCUAAAACCUUAAUAUCUUUUAAACAGAAAAUGAUUUUUGAGUGAUUUUUUUUCUGUCACCUUUAUUUUUCUGUCUAGUUUUUAUCAUAUUUAUUUGAAAAAUAUUUGGAGCACUUUUUGUGCACACACGAUAUUUACGUUAGAAUGUAUUUUUUCAUUAUACCGUAGAUACCGAAGGAGGUGACAAAACCGCGAACUUCACCGAGCUAGACUCCGACUACUCCGAACCAGGCAAGCAUGUUUGAAACUUUGAUAUGAUGAGUGUUUUGUAUGUUUGCUUUGAGUAGCUAGUUUAUGGCAUGUUCAUAUAUAUAAGCAGUAAGUGGUAUAUUACAUGCAAAGUUGAUGCAAGUGAGCUUCUAAACUCCAUAUACUUUAUGAUGUGAGUUUAUAUGAUCAUGUGGUGACAUGAGAGGUGGUAAGAUGGUAGUGUUGUAGCAUGCCAGUCUUAUGCCAAACCAUUUAACUCCAGUGUUAACGUGGAUCAAGUCACGUUAUCAUCCAUUCCUUCCUUUUGUGCUACGACAUGUUUUCCAUAAGGAAUAUGGCUUAGUAAGUUGCAAACCACUUUCCUCGUACACACCAGAUAGAGAGGCCAUGAUGAGGGUUCCAUGGCCCUAGAUUAAAGCCAGUCAUCCGGUCAGGGGGCAUGGGUGUUUCCGGUUGGGACCGAGAGGGGGGCACCCCUUAGAGCGCGCGUAUAUAAAUUUGAUCCCAUGCUAUUCGAGGUUGUAGCCUCCCCGUCUCAAAGUUUUUCUCGAACGUUGCCUAGGGUGAUUCCUGGCAUCGUGAGGUGGAAAUGGGUGUGUACUGGUUAGAUGUGUUUUUACUGAAAUACCGUAAACGGAACUAGUCCUUCGUGAGUACUGAAAUCUGUUGGCUGUGGUUAAAUAGUACAAACUCUGCAGAGUCAAAAUCGUUCAAGUAAUCAUAUCUUGAUCAACAACUCUGUUCAACCUAUCUCUGUCAGUAUCAGUCUUAGUGACAAAACUCUGGUGAGCAAACAUGAGUGUUUCGUCCGGUUAAUGGUUUAUUCCUGUGGUUGGACUAACCUGUUUAUUAUCAUGUGCUGAGCAUUUCUUGUGAGUGAUAUAUCUUCAUGAAUUUAUAUAAUACAAAUGAUGAAAUAUAAGCCCUUUCUGUGAUGUCGCUCAGACGUCCGACUAUGGCAUCUCUGUUAUUUAUUAUAAGCCCUUUUCGAGAUGUCGCUCAGACGUCCGACUGUGGCAUCGCUGUUAUUUACUUUAAUUAUAAGCCCUUUUUGUGAUGUCGCUCAGACGUCCGACUGUGGCAUCUCUGUUAUUUAUUAUAAGCCCUUUUCAAGAAGUCGCUCAGACGUCCAACUGUGGUAUCGCUGUUAUUUACUUUAAAUAUAAGCCCUUUCCGAGAUGUCGCAUAGACGUCCGACUGUGGCACGCACUGUCAUUUACUUUUCAAUAUAAGCCCUUUACGUGGUGUCGCCCAGACGCCCGACUACGGCAUGAUAAUUUAUUUAUUCCACCUUUCGAGGCGUCGCUUCAGACACCCAAUCGGUUUUUAUUUAUUUUUAUUGGGAUUUCGGGAGGACUACCACCUGACUUCCUUUUUAUUUUACAUGCCGUGCAAAUUUAUUAUUUGAAUGUGCAUUGCUAACUGCUCAUGGUGCAUCGUGUUGCAUUUGUUAUAUCUUAUGUCCAAACUGUCUUGCGAGUACAUUCAAAGUACUCACCUGGCUUGUUGAUUUGGCCAGAUGUUGACGAAGGCGAUCUCAUGGAUGAAGAGUACGAUAGCGAGUCCGACGCCUGUAAUAUAUCCCAGUCAGUCCCACGGGAUCCUGGAUUUGGUCACCUGUAAUAUAUCCUCUUCCGCUACCCGAAUAAAUUCAUCGAGCCUCACUCCGACGCUCGAUGAGCUGCAAGACUAAGAGUCUUGUUACCCACUCCACUGUGACAUAUCCACCACCACUUUUAUAUCGAGCCAGUAGUAUGCCACCAGACCCUUGUGUCAUAUCCGCCCUUAUGUAAAAUAUUGGCGUGCUUGUAAUAAAUUGUUUAGCAAUCUCAGCUCAACCCUGUAUAAUAUUUAAUACUACUGGAUUUCUGUAUCAAAGUUUUGUCUACCAGUAAGGAGGAUUUUC
rnacentral:lncRNA from 1 species